AGUGAACGCUGGCGGCAGGCCUAACACAUGCAAGUCGAACGGCAGCACAGGAGAGCUUGCUCUCUGGGUGGCGAGUGGCGGACGGGUGAGGAAUAUAUCGGAAUCUACCCUUUCGUGGGGGAUAACGUAGGGAAACUUACGCUAAUACCGCAUACGAACUGAGGUUGAAAGCGGCGGACCGCAAGGCGUCGCGCGGAUGGAUGAGCCGAUAUCCGAUUAGCUAGUUGGCGGGGUAAAGGCCCACCAAGGCGACGAUCGGUAGCUGGUCUGAGAGGAUGAUCAGCCACACUGGAACUGAGACACGGUCCAGACUCCUACGGGAGGCAGCAGUGGGGAAUAUUGGACAAUGGGCGAAAGCCUGAUCCAGCCAUGCCGCGUGAGUGAAGAAGGCCUUCGGGUUGUAAAGCUCUUUCGGACGGAAAGAAAUGGCUUCGGUGAAUAAUCGGAGUCGAUGACGGUACCGUAAGAAGAAGCACCGGCUAACUACGUGCCAGCCGCCGCCGUAA
rnacentral:rRNA from 1 species